AGGAGAUGUGGAUUCAAUUUCUGGUUCCCCAGGAAGAGUCCCUGGAGAAGGAAAUGGCAAACAACUCCAGUAUUUUUGCUGGGAAAGUCCCAUGGAUAGAAGACCCUUGCAGGCUACAGUCCCUGGAUUUGCAAGAGAGUCCGACACAACUGAGUGACCAAACAACAUGAAACUUUCCACAACAACCCUCCUGCACAUUGUACCAGAUCCUAGGAUACAAAGACUAACCGGGAUUCACCAGUGACAGUAGGAACCUGUGGUUUAGCUGAUGGAGAGUGAUGGAAGAAAGCUUUCAACCUUUACCUCUUCAGUGAUAGAAGGUGGCACAGGGCACAGUUGGACGCAGAGGAGAGUGGUUGAUUCUAUGCAAUACAGGAGUGAAUAUAUAAGGAAA
ensembl:lncRNA